rnacentral:rRNA from 1 species
AUGGAUCUAAGUGACAACCAGAUUCAGAUCCUCGAGAGUGUUUUCAUUGAGUGCCCCAACCCCGAUGAGGCCCAGCGCGCUCAUCACAGUCGCGAGCUUCGCGUGGAGCCCCAGCAUAUCAAAAUCUGGUUCAAGAACCGUCGUGCCCAGAUGAGGAGGGCUAGGCACGAGCAGGUGGACAACCACUUAUCCGGCUCGGAGAACGACGAGAUCGACUUGAAGAGUGACGAGAUCCACUAA